rnacentral:rRNA from 1 species
AUUGAACGCUGGCGGCAGGCCUAACACAUGCAAGUCGAACGCGUGGCGGACGGGUGAGUAAUGUCUGGGAAACUGCCCGAUGGAGGGGGAUAACUACUGGCAACGGUAGCUAAUACCGCAUACCAUCGGAUGUGCCCAUAUGGGAUUAGCUAGUAGGUGGGGUAAAGGCUCACCUAGGCGACGAUCCCUAGCUGGUCUGAGAGGAUGACCAGCCACACUGGAACGGAGACACGGUCCAGACUCCUACGGGAGGCAGCAGUGGGGAAUAGUGCACAAUGGGCGCAAGCCUGAUGCAGCCAUGCCGCGUGGAUGAAGAAGGCCUUCGGGUUGUAAAGUACUUUCAGCGGGGAGGCGUUACCCGCAGAAGAAGCACCGGCUAACUCCGUGCCAGCCGCCGCGGUAAUAC